rnacentral:rRNA from 1 species
UGCGGAGGGUGCGAGCGUUGUCCGGAAUCAUUGGGCGUAAAGGGCGCGUAGGUGGCCCGGUCAGUCAGUGGUGAAAGCGCGGGGCUCAACUCCGCGUCGGCCAUUGAUACUGCUGGGCUGGAGCACUGUAGAGGCAGGCGGAAUUCCGGGUGUAGCGGUGGAAUGCGUAGAGAUCCGGAAGAACACCGGUGGCGAAGGCGGCCUGCUGGGCAGUUGCUGACACUGAGGCGCGACAGCGUGGGGAGCAAACAGG